ACAGACACGAGGGGUAAUUGCAUUUUGCAAUAAAAUUUAUUGGGUUUAUCUAAGGGAUUAUCAUAAGAAUCACAGUGAAAAUAUUUUUUACACAAUAUUAUUUCUAUUAUUUAUUCAAGCAUCUUCACAAUAGUGUUUACCAUUUAAUUUUUACUAUAAAUCUUAAACUUUAUUUGUUUUAGUUAUAUAAAUUAUUCAUGACAUAUUAUUUUGAUUAAAUAAAUCUGAUGGUGAUUUCCAAAUUUAUUGGUUUUAAUCUU
rnacentral:lncRNA from 1 species